ACCGAUAGUGAACCAGUACCGUGAGGGAAAGGCGAAAAGAACCCCGGCGAGGGGAGUGAAAAAGAACCUGAAACCGUGUACGUACAAGCAGUGGGAGCACCCUUCGGGGUGUGACUGCGUACCUUUUGUAUAAUGGGUCAGCGACUUAUAUUCUGUAGCAAGGUUAACCGUAUAGGGGAGCCGGAGGGAAACCGAGUCUUAACCGGGCGUUAAGUUGCAGGGUAUAGACCCGAAACCCGGUGAUCUAGCCAUGGGCAGGUUGAAGGUUGGGUAACACUAACUGG
rnacentral:rRNA from 1 species